rnacentral:rRNA from 1 species
AUACGGAGGGUGCAAGCGUUAAUCGGAAUUACUGGGCGUAAAGCGUACGUAGGCGGUUCGUUAAGUUAGAUGUGAAAGCCCCGGGCUUAACCUGGGAACUGCAUUUAAAACUGCGAACUAGAGUUGAGUAGAGGGGAGUGGAAUUUCAGGUGUAGCGGUGAAAUGCGUAGAGAUCUGAAGGAACACCGGUGGCGAAGGCGACUCCCUGGACUCGAACUGACGCUGAGGUACGAAAGCGUGGGUAGCAAACGGGAUUAGAUACCCCAGUAGUCC